rnacentral:rRNA from 1 species
UAGAGUUUGAUCCUGGCUCAGGACGAACGCUGGCGGCGUGCUUUACACAUGCAAGUCGAACGAUGAUGGGUGCUUGCAUCCCUGAUUAGUGGCGAACGGGUGAGUAACACGUGAGUAACCUGCCCCAGACUCUGGGAUAACUCCGGGAAACCGGGGCUAAUACUGGAUAUCAUUUCUGCCUGCAUGGGUGGUUGUUGAAAGGGUUUCUGGUCUGGGAUGGGCUCGCGGCCUAUCAGCUUGUUGGUGGGGUGAUGGCCUACCAAGGCGAUGACGGGUAGCCGGCCUGAGAGGGUGACCGGCCACACUGGGACUGAGACACGGCCCAGACUCCUACGGGAGGCAGCAGUGGGGAAUAUUGCACAAUGGGCGCAAGCCUGAUGCAGCGACGCCGCGUGAGGGAUGACGGCCUUCGGGUUGUAAACCUCUUUCAGUAGGGAAGAAGCUUUCGGGUGACGGUACCUGCAGAAGAAGCGCCGGCUAACUACGUG